rnacentral:Y_RNA from 1 species
GGCUGGUCUGAAGGUGGUAAUGAGUUAUCUGUUGAUUGUUCACAGUCAGUGACAUAUCCAACUCCUUGUUCUACUCUCUCCCCCUUUCUCACUACUGUACUUGACUAGUCUUAA